UGGCCAUAUCACAUUGAAACACCGGUUUCCUUUAUGAUCACCAAAGUUAAGCAGCCUCGAUCCUGGCCAGUACCUAAAUGGGUGACUGCUUGGGAAUACCAGUUGCUGAA